rnacentral:rRNA from 1 species
ANAGUUUGAUGCUGGCUCAGAAUGAACGUUGGCGGCGUGGAUUAGGCAUGCAAGUCGUGCGAGAAGAACUCUUAGCUUGCUUUGAGUUCGGACAGCGGCGGAAGGGAGAGUAACGCGUGGUUACAUGCCUCAGGGACCAGGAUAGCGUUGGGAAACUGGCGGUAAUACAGGAUAACAUCUAAGGAUCAAAUGGUGUGAUUCCGCCCUGAGAUUGGACCGCGUACUAUUAGCUUGUUGGUGAGGUAAUGGCUCACCAAGGCUGCGAUGGUUACCGGGUGUGAGAGCAUGGCCCGGCUCACUGGGACUGAGACACUGCCCAGACACCUACGGGUGGCUGCAGUCGAGAAUCUUCGGCAAUGGACGAAAGUCUGACCGAGCGACGCCGCGUGCGGGAUGAAGGCCCUCGGGUUGUAAACCGCUGUCAGUUUGGAGGAAAGGUCUGUGAAGAGCAGGCCCUGACCGAUAUUCAGAGGAAGGACGGGCUAAGUUCGUGCCAGCAGCCGCGGUAAGACGAACCGUCCAAACGUUAUUCGGUAUCACUGGGCUUAAAGCGUGCGUAGGCGGCUUGGUAGGUGAGAUGUGAAAGCCCACGGCUCAACCGUGGAAUUGCGUUUCAAACCCCCAAGCUUGAGGAAGACAGGGGAGAUGGGAACUUAUGGUGGAGCGGUGAAAUGCGUUGAUAUCAUAGGGUACACCGGUGGCGAAGGCGCAUCUCUGGGUCUUUUCUGACG